UAUUGCGCAAUGGAGGAAACUCUGACGCAGUGACGCCGCGUAUAGGAAGAAGGUUUUCGGAUUGUAAACUAUUGUCCACAGGGAAGAUAAAAGACUGUACCUGUGAAGAAAGCUCCGGCUAACUACGUGCCAGCAGCCGCGGUAAUACGUAGGGAGCAAGCGUUAUCCGGAAUUAUUGGGUGUAAAGGGUGCGUAGACGGGAUAACAAGUUAGUUGUGAAACCCCUCGGCUCAACUGAGGAACUGCAACUAAAACUAUUAUUCUUGAGUGCAGGAGAGGAAAGUGGAAUUCCUAGUGUAGCGGUGAAAUGCGUAGAUAUUAGGAGGAACACCAGUGGCGAAGGCGGCCUGCUGGGCUUUAACUGACGCUGAGGCUCGAAAGCGUGGGUAGCAAACAGG
rnacentral:rRNA from 1 species